AUAAAGUUGGAGCCGAACGGAGGAACAAAAUUUUGCCUUAGAAUAGAAGUGUGUGGUGAAGUCCAAACGCCUGCUCCCGUACAAAGGAUUGUCGCCGAACCAUCGUUCUAUUCUGUUAAUCUAACGUGGACAAUACCAGUGGCUAAAAAGUCUUCUUUUAUUACACAUUUCAUCAUUUACUUGAACGGCACUGAAAGAGAAAGAAUAUCUCGUGUACAACAUGGAAAUAAUUUCAUUCUUCGAGGUCUGAAACCUAACACUUAUUAUAAAGUUGGCAUAAUGUCACAGGAUGGAUAUUCAAAAAAGUCCAUAGCGGUCUACAAAAGUUAUAAAACUAAAAGAGCAGGGUUUUUUCUUAGACACACUCAGUCAGGAAAGU